CCCUUUAAAGAAAGCGUAAUAGCUCACUAGUCGAGUCGGCCUGCGCGGAAGAUGUAACGGGGCUCAAACUGGAUACCGAAGCUGCGGCAGCAGACUUGUUCUGCUGGGUAGGGGAGCGUUGUGUAAGCCUGUGAAGGUGUGUUGAGAAGCAUGCUGGAGGUAUCACAAGUGCGAAUGCUGACGUGAGUAACGAUAAUGGGGGUGAAAAACCCCCACGCCGAAAGACCAAGGUUUCCUGCGCAACGCUAAUCGGCGCAGGGUGAGUCGGCCCCUAAGGCGAGGCAGAAAUGCGUAGCUGAUGGGAAACGGGUUAAUAUUCCCGUACUUCUUAUAACUGCGAUGGAGAGACGGAGAAGGCUAUGCCUACCGGGCGUUGGUUGUCCCGGGGAAAGGCUGUAGGCUGAGGUGUUAGGCAAAUCCGGCACCUUAAGGCUGAGAGUCGAGACCACUGGUCCUUUGUGACCGGGAAGUGGUUGAUGCCAUGCUUCCAGGAAAAUCUUCUAAGCUUCAGGUUAUAAGGAACCGUACCCCAAACCGACACAGGUGGUUGGGAUGAGUAUUCUAAGGCGCUUGAGAGAACUCGGGUGAAGGAACUAGGCAAAAUUGUACCGUAACUUCGGGAGAAGGUACGCCGCUGACGGUGACGAGACUUGCUCUCUGAGCUAUUGGCGGUCGCAGUGAAAAGGCCCCUGCAACUGUUUAUUAAAAACACAGCACUCUGCAAACGCGUAAGCGGACGUAUAGGGUGUGACGCCUGCCCGGUGCCGGAAGGUUAAUUGAUGGGGUUAGCUUCGGCGAAGCUCUUGAUCGAAGCCCCGGUAAACGGCGGCCGUAACUAUAACGGUCCUAAGGUAGCGAAAUUCCUUG
rnacentral:rRNA from 1 species